rnacentral:lncRNA from 1 species
AUAUUAGCUUUACAUUCUUAUAAAGGCUAAAUUAUAAAAAAAAUUUCUGUCAAUAUUCAUUACUUUUCUUCCUGUCAUUUAAAAAUCUAUAUUUUGCCAGUUUAAAAAAUAAAAAAUAUUUACAGAAGGAUACAACGUUAACUCUGAUGACAAAAUGAUCAAAUUGCUCAUCAUCCUCUUCGUCUUCCUCCCCAAUCCUGCUCAUCGGCAGCUCUCCUCCUCCGUCCUUCCUGCCUCUAUCGACCCUAGCUCUAACGUCGUUUCCUCCACCCGCUCCUCCGCUCCUCUAGCACUCUCGCAACCCCUCUAUUUCGGCGAUUGUAGGGAGGAGAUCAGGGCGGCCGAGGGCGAGGGUGAGGCGGCAGAUCAAGGAGGAUAAGAGCGUGUGUAUGGGCACGGACAAAAGAGUGCGAGAGGGCGAGGGCGAGGGCGAGAGCGAGGCAGCGUGGCCGGCGAUUUUGGUGAGGAAGGAGGAGGGAGAUGAUGGUUUUAGGAAUAUUUUUGAUAUAAAAAAUAAUAAUAAUAGAAUAUAAACGGAAUCUUAAUAAAACACUGACUGCGAGAACUGAAGUAAAUAUUUUUUAAUUUUUAAGGGGACAAAGCAUGAGUUUUUGAAUGAGGCCAAUACUUAUUGU